GUACAAUAAGAACUUCAAGACACUGAGGAAAGAAAUUGAAGAAGACCUCAGAAGAUGGAAAGAUCUCCCAUGCUCAUGGAUUGGCAGGAUUAAUAUAGUAAAAAUGGCCAUUUUACCAAAAGCAAUCUACAGAUUCAAUGCAAUCCCCAUCAAAAUACCAAUCCAAUUCUUCAAAGAGUUAGACAGAACAAUUUGCAAAUUCAUCUGGAAUAACAAAAAACCCAGGAUAGCUAAAGCUAUCCUCAACAAUAAAAGGACUUCAGGGGGAAUCACUAUCCC
rnacentral:lncRNA from 1 species